UGGCUCAGAGGUUAAGAGCACUGGCUGCUCUUCCAGAGAUCCUGAGUUCAAUUCUCAG
rfam:Neotoma lepida isolate 417 scaffold_508, whole genome shotgun sequence.